rnacentral:ncRNA from 1 species
AAGAGCUUUCCAGUAACUAUGAAACUAGAGUGUAAUGGAGGAAAGAGGAACUCCGAGAGUAGGGAUGGAAUCUAUUGAUCCUCGGAAGACCGCUUAAGGCGAAGGCUUCUUUCUAACUAAACACUGACGCUGAGGUACGAAAGUAUGGGGAGCAAAACGGAUUAGAGACCCGUGUAGUCCAUACCGUAAACGAUGAGUGCCUUAGAUUGGUUAUUAAAUCAGUCUAUAAAUGUAGAUUAAAGCACUCC